rnacentral:tRNA from 2 species
AAGACACUGGUAAAAUCUAAUAUCACAUUGCUUUGUCAAGGCAAAGUUGUGGGUUAAAAUCCCGCGUGUCUUA